GACGAACGCUGGCGGCGUGCCUAAUACAUGCAAGUAGAACGCUGAAGAGAGGAGCUUGCUCUUCUUGAGUGAGUUGCGAACGGGUGAGUAACGCGUAGGUAACCUGCCUUGUAGCGGGGGAUAACUAUUGGAAACGAUAGCUAAUACCGCAUAACAAUGGGUGACACAUGUCAUUUAUUUGAAAGGGGCAAUUGCUCCACUACAAGAUGGACCUGCGUUGUAUUAGCUAGUAGGUGAGGUAACGGCUCACCUAGGCGACGAUACAUAGCCGACCUGAGAGGGUGAUCGGCCACACUGGGACUGAGACACGGCCCAGACUCCUACGGGAGGCAGCAGUAGGGAAUCUUCGGCAAUGGGGGCAACCCUGACCGAGCAACGCCGCGUGAGUGAAGAAGGUUUUCGGAUCGUAAAGCUCUGUUGUAAGUCAAGAACGAGUGUGAGAGUGGAAAGUUCACACUGUGACGGUAGCUUACCAGAAAGGGACGGCUAACUACGUGCCAGCAGCCGCGGUAAUACGUAGGUCCCGAGCGUUGUCCGGAUUUAUUGGGCGUAAAGCGAGCGCAGGCGGUUUGAUAAGUCUGAAGUUAAAGGCUGUGGCUCAACCAUAGUUCGCUUUGGAAACUGUCAAACUUGAGUGCAGAAGGGGAGAGUGGAAUUCCAUGUGUAGCGGUGGAAUGCGUAGAUAUAUGGAGGAACACCGGUGGCGAAAGCGGCUCUCUGGUCUGUAACUGACGCUGAGGCUCGAAAGCGUGGGGAGCGAACAGG
rnacentral:rRNA from 1 species